UACGUAGGGGGCAAGCGUUGUCCGGAAUCAUUGGGCGUAAAGAGCGCGUAGGCGGCCCGAUAAGUCCGCUGUGAAAGUCAAGGGCUUAACCCUUGAAUGCCGGUGGAAACUGUCGGGCUAGAGUCCGGAAGAGGCGAGUGGAAUUCCUGGUGUAGCGGUGAAAUGCGCAGAUAUCCGGAGGAACACCGGUGGCGAAGGCGGCUUCCUGGACCGACACUGACGCUGAGACGCGAAAGCGUGGGGAGCGAACAGG
rnacentral:rRNA from 1 species